GACAGAGGAUGCAAGCGUUAUCCGGAAUGAUUGGCGUAAAGCGUCUGUAGGUGGCUUUUAAGUCCGCCGUCAAAUCCCAGGCUCAACCCUGGACAGGCGGUGGAAACUACCAAGCUGGAGUACGUAGGGGCAGAGGAAUUUCCGGUGGAGCGGUGAAAUGCGUAGAGAUCGGAAAGAACACCAACGGCGAAAGCACUCUGCUGGGCCGACACUGACACUGAGAGACGAAAGCUAGGGGAGCGAAUGGG
rnacentral:rRNA from 1 species